GAUGAACGCUAGCGGCAGGCCUAACACAUGCAAGUCGAGGGGGAAGUUACUUUCGGGUGACUGAGACCGGCGUACGGGUGCGUAACGCGUAUACAAUCUGCCUUUCACUGGGGGAUAGCCCGAAGAAAUUUGGAUUAAUACCCCAUAGUAUAUAGGGACGGCAUCGUUUUUAUAUUAAAGCUUAGGUGGUGAAAGAUGAGUAUGCGUUCUAUUAGCUAGUUGGAGAGGUAACGGCUCCCCAAGGCGAUGAUAGAUAGGGGUUCUGAGAGGGAUGUCCCCCACACUGGUACUGAGAUACGGACCAGACUCCUACGGGAGGAAGCAGUGAGGAAUAUUGGACAAUGGUCGGAAGACUGAUCCAGCCAUGCCGCGUGCAGGAUGAAGGUCUUAUGGAUUGUAAACUGCUUUUGUAAGGGAAGAAUAAGGGCUACGCGUAGUUUGAUGACGGUACCUUACGAAUAAGCAUCGGCUAACUCCGUG
rnacentral:rRNA from 1 species